rnacentral:misc_RNA from 1 species
AACGCAUAUUGCACUCUUUGGUAUUCCAGGGAGUAUGCCUGUUUGAGAAUCACUUUACUCUUUUGACCUAAAGGAAACUUGUAAAAGUGGAAUGGUGGUCAAGAUUUGAACAAUGAGUUGUAUAACUCUUGUUUUAAAAUGAGUGUUUUUUAACUAUUGAUUCAAAAAGUUGAACCAUACGUUAUUACUGAGAGAGCUUGCUUUCUCUUUAUCGUAUGUUUAAACUUUAGAAGGAAUAGACUAAAAGACUUUAUUGAACUUUUUCUUUUAGAAAAAGACUUUAAGGAAUAUGAAUUCCUCAUCUUGAUCUCAAAUCAGGCAAGAGUACCCGCUGAACUUAA